GGUUAAGCGACUAAGCGUACACGGUGGAUGCCCUGGCAGUCAGAGGCGAUGAAGGACGUGCUAAUCUGCGAAAAGCGCCGGCGAGGUGAUAUGAACCCUUGACCCGGCGAUGUCCGAAUGGGGAAACCCAGUGCAAUCCGUUGCACUAUCGUUAACUGAAUACAUAGGUUAACGAGGCGAACCGGGGGAACUGAAACAUCUAAGUACCCCGAGGAAAAGAAAUCAACCGAGAUUCCCCCAGUAGCGGCGAGCGAACGGGGAGCAGCCCGGAGUCUGAAUCAGCUUGUGUGUUAGUGGAACGGUCUGGAAAGUCCGACGGUACAGGGUGAUAGUCCCGUACACGAAAAUGCACAUGCUGUGAACUCGAAGAGUAGGGCGGGACACGUGGUAUCCUGUCUGAAUAUGGGGGGACCAUCCUCCAAGGCUAAAUACUCCUGACUGACCGAUAGUGAACCAGUACCGUGAGGGAAAGGCGAAAAGAACCCCGGCGAGGGGAGUGAAAAAGAACCUGAAACCGUGUACGUACAAGCAGUGGGAGCCUCUUUAUGGGGUGACUGCGUACCUUUUGUAUAAUGGGUCAGCGACUUAUAUUCUGUAGCAAGGUUAACCGUAUAGGGGAGCCGAAGGGAAACCGAGUCUUAACUGGGCGUUAAGUUGCAGGGUAUAGACCCGAAACCCGGUGAUCUAGCCAUGGGCAGGUUGAAGGUUGGGUAACACUAACUGGAGGACCGAACCGACUAAUGUUGAAAAAUUAGCGGAUGACCUGUGGCUGGGGGUGAAAGGCCAAUCAAACCGGGAGAUAGCUGGUUCUCCCCGAAAGCUAUUUAGGUAGCGCCUCGUGAACUCAUCUUCGGGGGUAGAGCACUGUUUCGGCUAGGGGGCCAUCCCGGCUUACCAACCCGAUGCAAACUACGAAUACCGAAGAAUGUUAUCACGGGAGACACACGGCGGGUGCUAACGUCCGUCGUGAAGAGGGAAACAACCCAGACCGCCAGCUAAGGUCCCAAAGUCAUGGUUAAGUGGGAAACGAUGUGGGAAGGCACAGACAGCCAGGAUGUUGGCUUAGAAGCAGCCAUCAUUUAAAGAAAGCGUAAUAGCUCACUGGUCGAGUCGGCCUGCGCGGAAGAUGUAACGGGGCUAAACCAUGCACCGAAGCUGCGGCAGCGACACUUAUGUGUUGUUGGGUAGGGGAGCGUUCUGUAAGCCGUUGAAGGUGUGCUGUGAGGCAUGCUGGAGGUAUCAGAAGUGCGAAUGCUGACAUAAGUAACGAUAAAGCGGGUGAAAAGCCCGCUCGCCGGAAGACCAAGGGUUCCUGUCCAACGUUAAUCGGGGCAGGGUGAGUCGACCCCUAAGGCGAGGCCGAAAGGCGUAGUCGAUGGGAAACAGGUUAAUAUUCCUGUACUUGGUGUUACUGCGAAGGGGGGACGGAGAAGGCUAUGUCAGCCGGGCGACGGUUGUCCCGGUUUAAGCAUGUAGGCGGAGGUUCCAGGUAAAUCCGGUACCUUGUUAACGCUGAGGUGUGAUGACGAGGCACUACGGUGCUGAAGUGAUAAAUGCCCUGCUUCCAGGAAAAGCCUCUAAGCAUCAGGUAACACGAAAUCGUACCCCAAACCGACACAGGUGGUCAGGUAGAGAAUACCAAGGCGCUUGAGAGAACUCGGGUGAAGGAACUAGGCAAAAUGGUGCCGUAACUUCGGGAGAAGGCACGCUGAUGUGUAGGUGAAGCCCCUGCGGGUGGAGCUGAAAUCAGUCGAAGAUACCAGCUGGCUGCAACUGUUUAUUAAAAACACAGCACUGUGCAAACACGAAAGUGGACGUAUACGGUGUGACGCCUGCCCGGUGCCGGAAGGUUAAUUGAUGGGGUUAGCGGCAACGCGAAGCUCUUGAUCGAAGCCCCGGUAAACGGCGGCCGUAACUAUAACGGUCCUAAGGUAGCGAAAUUCCUUGUCGGGUAAGUUCCGACCUGCACGAAUGGCGUAAUGAUGGCCAGGCUGUCUCCACCCGAGACUCAGUGAAAUUGAACUCGCUGUGAAGAUGCAGUGUACCCGCGGCAAGACGGAAAGACCCCGUGAACCUUUACUAUAGCUUGACACUGAACACUGGUCCUUGAUGUGUAGGAUAGGUGGGAGGCUUUGAAGCGUGGACGCCAGUCUGCGUGGAGCCAACCUUGAAAUACCACCCUUUAAUGGCUGGUGUUCUAACGUAGACCCGUAAUCCGGGUUGCGGACAGUGUCUGGUGGGUAGUUUGACUGGGGCGGUCUCCUCCCAAAGAGUAACGGAGGAGCACGAAGGUUGGCUAAUCCUGGUCGGACAUCAGGAGGUUAGUGCAAUGGCAUAAGCCAGCUUGACUGCGAGCGUGACGGCGCGAGCAGGUGCGAAAGCAGGUCAUAGUGAUCCGGUGGUUCUGAAUGGAAGGGCCAUCGCUCAACGGAUAAAAGGUACUCCGGGGAUAACAGGCUGAUACCGCCCAAGAGUUCAUAUCGACGGCGGUGUUUGGCACCUCGAUGUCGGCUCAUCACAUCCUGGGGCUGAAGUAGGUCCCAAGGGUAUGGCUGUUCGCCAUUUAAAGUGGUACGCGAGCUGGGUUUAGAACGUCGUGAGACAGUUCGGUCCCUAUCUGCCGUGGGCGCUGGAGAAUUGAGGGGGGCUGCUCCUAGUACGAGAGGACCGGAGUGGACGCAUCACUGGUGUUCGGGUUGUCAUGCCAAUGGCACUGCCCGGUAGCUAAAUGCGGAAGAGAUAAGUGCUGAAAGCAUCUAAGCACGAAACUUGCCCCGAGAUGAGUUCUCCCUGAGACCUUGAGUCUCCUGAAGGAACGUUAAAGACUAUGACGUUGAUAGGUCGGGUGUGUAAGCGCAGCGAUGCGUUGAGCUAACCGAUACUAAUGAACCGUGAGGCUUAACCUU
rnacentral:rRNA from 1 species